rnacentral:rRNA from 1 species
GCAGUGGGGAAUAUUGGACAAUGGGCGAAAGCCUGAUCCAGCAAUGCCGCGUGAGUGAUGAAGGCCUUAGGGUUGUAAAGCUCUUUUACCAGGGAUGAUAAUGACAGUACCUGGAGAAUAAGCUCCGGCUAACUCCGUGCCAGCAGCCGCGGUAAUACGGAGGGAGCUAGCGUUGUUCGGAAUUACUGGGCGUAAAGCGCGCGUAGGCGGUUACUCAAGUCAGAGGUGAAAGCCCGGGGCUCAACCCCGGAACUGCCUUUGAAACUAGGUAGCUAGAAUCUUGGAGAGGUCAGUGGAAUUCCGAGUGUAGAGGUGAAAUUCGUAGAUAUUCGGAAGAACACCAGUGGCGAAGGCGACUGACUGGACAAGUAUUGACGCUGAGGUGCGAAAGCGUGGGGAGCAAACAGGAUUAGA